rnacentral:rRNA from 1 species
GAUGAACGCUGACAGAAUGCUUAACACAUGCAAGUCAACUUGAACUUCGGUUUGGGUGGCGGACGGGUGAGUAACGCGUAAAGAACUUGCCUCACAGAUAGGGACAACAUUUGGAAACGAAUGCUAAUACCUGAUAUUAUGAUUAUAUGGCAUCGUAUAAUUAUGAAAGCUAUAUGCGCUGUGAGAGAGCUUUGCGUCCCAUUAGCUAGUUGGAGAGGUAACGGCUCACCAAGGCGAUGAUGGGUAGCCGGCCUGAGAGGGUGAUCGGCCACAAGGGGACUGAGACACGGCCCGUACUCCUACGGGAGGCAGAAGUGGGGAAUAUUGGACAAUGGACCAAGAGUCUGAUCCAGCAAUUCUGUGUGCACGAUGAAGUUUUUCGGAAUGUAAAGUGCUUUCAGUUGGGAAGAAAAAAAUGACGGUACCAACAGAAGAAGUGACGGCUAAAUACGUG